UCUGGCCUGUUCUACGUGCGAGUUCCACCAUGCAAGUUUUGAGCUAUUUGAAUCCAAAAACUUGACACGUUGAGCUCGUGCGUGGAGCGGCAAAAUCAUCGCC
rnacentral:pre_miRNA from 1 species